CUCAAAGAUUAAGCCAUGCAUGUCUAAGCACACGCCGAUUAAUGGCAAAGCCGCGAAUGGCUCAUUACAACAGCCAUAGUUUAUUAGAUCUUACUYUCCUACAUGGAUAACUGUGGUAAUUCUAGAGCCUAAUACACGCCUUGAAGCCGAAACCUUACGGGAUCGGUGCAUUUAUUAGAUCAAAACCAAUCGGACUUCGGUCCGCUCUUUGGUGAAUCUGAAUAACUCAGCUGAUCGCACGGUCCUCGAACCGGCGACGUAUCUUUCAAAUGUCUGCCUUAUCAACUUUCGAUGGUAGUUUAUGCGCCUACCAWGGUUGUAACGGGUAACGGAGAAUAAGGGUUCGAUACCGGAGAMGGAGCCUGAGAAACGGCUACCACAUCCAAGGAAGGCAGCAGGCACGCAAAUUACCCACUCCCGGCACGGAGAGGUAGUGACGAAAAAUAACGAGAUGAUUCUCUCAGAGGCUCAUCAUCGGAAUGAGUACAAUUUAAAUCCUUUAACGAGGAUCUAUUGGAGGGCAAGUCUGGUGCCAGCAGCCGCGGURAUUCCAGCUCCAAUAGCGUAUAUUAAAGUUGUUGCGUUUAAAAAGCUCGUAGUUGGAUCUGCGGCUAAGGAUGGCGGUCCCCCGAUGGGUGGUUACUGCUUUUCCUGGCCUAUUAUCUCCGGUUUUCCCUUGUGGCUCUUCAUUGAGUUGCUUGGGUGGCUGGAACGUUUACUUUGAAAAAAUUAGAGUGCUUAAAGCAGGCUCAGCCUGAAUAGURGUGCAUGGAAUAAUGGAAUAGGACCUCGGUUCUAUUUUGUUGGUUUUCGGAGCUCGAGGUAAYGAUUAAGAGGGACAGACGGGGGCAUUCGUAUUGCGACGUUAGAGGUGAAAUUCUUGGAUCGUCGCAAGACGAACUACUGCGAAAGCAUUUGCCAAGAAUGUUUUCAUUAAUCAAGAACGAAAGUUAGAGGUUCGAAGGCGAUCAGAUACCGCCCUAGUUCUAACCGUAAACGAUGCCAACUAGCGAUCUGUGGGGGUUAAAUUUAUGACUCCACAGGAAGCUUCCGGGAAACCAAAGUCUUUGGGUUCCGGGGGAAGUAUGGUUGCAAAGCUGAAACUUAAAGGAAUUGACGGAAGGGCACCACCAGGAGUGGAGCCUGCGGCUUAAUUUGACUCAACGCGGGGAAACUCACCCGGCCCGGACACCGUAAGGAUUGACAGAUUGAUAGCUCUUUCUUGAUUCGGUGGGUGGUGGUGCAUGGCCGUUCUUAGUUGGUGGAGCGAUUUGUCUGGUUAAUUCCGAUAACGAACGAGACUCUAGCCUAUUAAAUAGUGGCUGAAUCUUUUGUUCAGUUUACUUCUUAGAGGGACAAGGGGUAUCUAGCCCCACGAGAUUGAGCAAUARCAGGUCUGUGAUGCCCUUAGAUGUCCGGGGCUGCACGKGCGCUACACUGAAGGAGUCAACGUGCAUCUUAACCUUGUCUGGAAAGACUGGGUAACCCAGUGAAACUCCUUCGUGAUUGGGAUAGGGAAUUGCAAUUAUUUCCCUUGAACGAGGAAUUCCUAGUAAGUGCGGGUCAUCAUCUCGCGUUGAUUACGUCCCUGCCCUUUGUACACACCGCCCGUCGCUACUACCGAUUGGAUGAUUUAGUGAGGUCUUCGGACCGGCGUCGUAGCAGCGCAAGCUGCAUCGGCAGUCGGAAAGAAAACCGAACUACAUUAUCUAGAGGAAGU
rnacentral:rRNA from 1 species